GGGCGGUUAGCUCAGUUGGUUAGAGCGCAUGCUUGACAUGCAUGAGGUCGUAGGUUCAAAUCCUAUACCGCCCACCA
rnacentral:tRNA from 1 species